UACGGAGGGUGCAAGCGUUGUUCGGAAUUACUGGGCGUAAAGCGCGUGUAGGCGGUUUGGUAAGUCAGAUGUGAAAGCCCUGGGCUCAACCCAGGAAGUGCAUUUGAAACUGCCUUACUCGAGUAUGGGAGAGGAGAGUGGAAUUCCCAGUGUAGAGGUGAAAUUCGUAGAUAUUGGGAGGAACACCCGUGGCGAAGGCGACUCUCUGGACCAAUACUGACGCUGAGACGCGAAAGCGUGGGGAGCAAAC
rnacentral:rRNA from 1 species